rnacentral:rRNA from 16 species
UCUCCGUAACGGAAAACCGAUCAAUAAAAGUUGAAUCUUUUAUAUUUUGUUGGAAGUAAAAACCUGGCAAUGAUAUAAAAAAGACAAAAAUUAGCGAAUUGAACCAUCUAAGUAGCUAAUGAAAAAAUCAACCGAGAAUACUGUAAGUAGUGGCGAGCGAACAUGGUAAAGGCUUUUUUGUUUUUAAGUAGAUCUAAUUUGACUACUAAAAACAAAUUUAAUUGAUUACACACUAAUUUAAAUAUCCAAAGAAGGUAUUUUUAAGUAAGUCCUGUAAAAUUUAGUCGUAACAAUUAAAAAACAGUAGAAUAAAACAAGUCAUGUUUUGUUUGAAGAUUGAGGUCCCACCCUCAAAGCCUAAAUAAUUUUUGAUGAUAGAUAGUGAACUAGUACCGUGAGGGAAAUGGGUGAAAUUUAACGCUGACAAUCAGUUGAAGCUUAGAAAUUUUUAAAAGUGACAGCGAUCCUUUUGCAUAAUGCGUCAACGAGUUUAUUUUAGAGGCAAGCUUAAGCUGUGCAAAGUGUAGGCUAAAAGAAAUUAAAAAAGUCUUAAAUUGCUUUUUAAGUCACUAAAAUAAGACCCGAAACUAAGUGAUCUAACCAUGAACAGGUUGAAUUUAAAGCGGCAACGCUUAUUGGAGGACCGAACCCGUGUAUGUGGAAAGAUACUGGGAUGAUUUGUGGUUAGGGGUGAAAGGCCAAUCAAACUUAGAGAUAGCUGGUUUUCUGCGAAAUCUAUUUAAGUAGAGCGUUUAAAAACUUUGAUUUGAGGUAGAGCUCUUAAUAAAUAAGGGGGGUGUAAAACUUUACCGAAUUUAAUAAAACUUCGAAUACAAAACAAAAGAAUUUAAGCAGACAGACUGUGAGUGCUAAGAUUCACAGUCAAGAGGGAAACAGCCCAGACUAUUUGUUAAGGCCCUUAAAAGUAAUUAAGUGAAAAAGAAAGUGAAAAAAUUUUAACAACCGGAAGGUAGGCUUGGAAGCAGCCAUCCUUUAAAGAAAGCGUAACAGCUCACUGGUUUAGUUUUUUUGCGUCAAAAAUGUAGAGGGACUAAAAUUACUUGCCGAAGCAAUAGAUUUAAAUUGUUAAAAUUUAAAUGGUAGCAGAACGUUCUGUAAAUCAACGGAGGUUUAUGGUGACAUAAACUGGAGAAAUCAGAAGUGUAAAUGUUGACAUGAGUAGCGAAAAACAGUGUAUAAGCAUUGUUGCCUUAAGUUCAAGGUUUCCAAAGCAAGUCUACCCCUCUUUGGUUGAAUCGGUCCCUAAGGUCUUAACGAAAGUUAAAGAUCGAUGGAGAAUAAUAUUAUUACAAUCUAAAGUGACAAAAUACAAAGAUUAUUUUUAUCUAAUGGUUUCGAUAAAAGUUUUUUAGUAUUUUCAAGAAAUAGCUUUAGUAAAAUCAACCGUACUGUAAACCGACACAGGUGAACAAAUUUAGUAAAUUAAGGCACGUGAGCGAAUUGUAUUGAAGGAACUCGGCAAAAUGACUCCGGAACUUCGGAAUAAGGAGUAGCUUUUUUAGGGCAACCUUUAAAAGCUGGCACAAAAUCGAGGACAGCAACUGUUUAAUAAAAACACAGGUCUCUGCAAAUUUGUAAAAAGACGUAUAGAGACUGACGCCUGCCCGGUGCUGCAAGAUUAAUGAGAAAAGUUUUGGCUUUGAUCUUAAACCCCAGUAAACGGCGGCUGUAACUCUGACGGUCCAAAGGUAGCGAAAUUCCUUGGCAUUUAAUUGGUGUCCUGCAUGAAUGGCGUAAUGACUGUCCUACUGUCUCCAAUACAACCUCAGUGAAAUUGAAAUCUCCGUGAAGAUGCGGAGUACCUGCGGCUAGACGGAAAGACCCCGUGCACCUUUACUACAGCUUCGCACUGGUAUCAGGAUUGUGACGUGCAGGAUAGGUGGUAGACAUUGAAGCCGAGACGCUAGUCUCGGUGGAGUCUCCCUUGAGAUACCACCCUUCGCACUCUUGAUAUCUAACCGCGGUCCAUUAUCUGGAUCCGGGACCCUGCGUGGCGGGUAGUUUGACUGGGGCGGUCGCCUCCUAAAGCGUAACGGAGGCGCGCGAAGGUUGGCUCAGAGCGGUCGGAAAUCGCUCGUUGAGUGCAAUGGCAAAAGCCAGCCUGACUGCGAGACUGACAAGUCGAGCAGAGACGAAAGUCGGCCAUAGUGAUCCGGUGGUCCCGAGUGGAAGGGCCAUCGCUCAACGGAUAAAAGGUACGCCGGGGAUAACAGGCUAAUUAUCCUCUAGAGACCCUAUCGACGGGAUAGUUUGGCACCUCGAUGUUGGAUUAUCGCAUCCUGGAACUGUAAGCGGUUCCAAGGGUUUGGCUGUUCGCCAAGAAAGGCGGUACAUGAUCUGAGUUUAGAACGUCGUGAGACAGUUUGGCCCCUAUCUACCGCAGGCGUAAAAAAAUUGAAAGGAUUAAACCUUAGUACGAGAGGACCAGGAAAAGUGAAUCUCUGGUGUAUCGGUUGUUAUACCAAUAGCAUAGCCGAGUAGCUAUAAUUCAUAAUAGAUAAUCGCUGAAAGCAUCUAAGCGAGAAACUAACCUUGAGAUUAAUUUUUUAAAAGAACGUAGUAGAUUAUUACGCAAUAGGCUUAGUGUGUAAGAAUUGCAAAAUUUUUAGCUAAUAAGUACUAAAA